rnacentral:rRNA from 1 species
GAUGAACGCUGGCGGCGUGCCUAAUACAUGCAAGUCGAGCGAACAGACGAGGAGCUUGCUCCUCUGACGUUAGCGGCGGACGGGUGAUUAACACGUGGAUAACCUACCUAUAAGACUGGGAUAACUUCGGGAAACCGGAGCUAAUACCGGAUAAUAUAUUGAACCGCAUGGUUCAAUAGUGAAAGACGGUUUUGCUGUCACUUAUAGCUGGAUCCGCGCCGCAUUAGCUAGUUGGUAAGGUAACGGCUUAGCAAGGCAACGAUGCGUAGCCGACCUGAGAGGGUGAUCGGCCACACUGGAACUGAGACACGGCCCAGACUCCUACGGGAGGCAGCAGUAGGGAAUCUUCCGCAAUGGGCGAAAGCCUGACGGAGCAACGCCGCGUGAGUGAUGAAGGUCUUCGGAUCGUAAAACUCUGUUAUUAGGGAAGAACAAAUGUGUAAGUAACUAUGCACGUCUUGACGGUACCUAAUCAGAAAGCCACGGCUAACUACGUG